AUCUCUUUUUAUCAGAAAAAAAAACUUUUCCCCAGAACUUCCCCUAACUCUUAGUAGAUCUCCUUCUGUUUCUCUUUGAAAUAAAUUGAAAUAAAAUGAAUGGUAUGCCUAGCCAAGUGUGGCAAGGAAAAUAAAAAUUAGUUUCAAAGAGGAUCAGAGCACCUUCCUGAUCAGCACUUGUCUGAUCAGAAAUAUGGGGAAGACUAAUGAAUCUGUGGUAGGCAAGCAAAGAAUCUACCAGUCCCACACAAGGUACUUCAGGGUCAGACCAGGGUCCCAUUCUCUUCAUAUUCUCUGCAAGUCUUGCCACGCAGUAAGUCUAGACAGUCACCUCAAUUUCCAGUGGUAAAUUAAAUCAAUCACUUUGCCUCAAGGUAUAAAUAUUCAUGGGCUACAUAGAUCAAAUAUCCAAUCUGAGAUACCAGAGGCAUUCUGUAGACAUGAUUUGCCAAUAUAUAACUCACCAGAGGCUAGGGGUUUUCUCUGUCUUAAUUUUUCUACUGAAUUUUUAAACACAAAGGGCCAGACUAACAGCACGGUACUUUGUAAUACCAUUUAAAUAAUAAAACACAUAUUUGUCACCAUGCAGAUGGCAACUGAAGAUCCCACAGAUGGAAUUGUGGCUCUCUGGAGGAGAUGUGUGAAGACGGGAGGAGAAGGGGACGACAGAGGAUGAGAUGGUUAGAUGGCAUCACCAACUGAAUGGAUAUGGAUCUGAGCAAGCUCUGGGAGAUUGUGAAGGACAGGGAAGUCUGGCCUGCUGCAGUCCAUAGAGUCAAAAAUGAUGGAAUGACUGAACAACAACCACAUCAGAACCCAACUAGUACAUGUAUUUCUUUAACGGGAACAGGAUGGCUUGACCAUAAUCAACAGCCUUGGACAAUGGAGUGGAAGCC